UUACUUACCUGGCAGGGGAGAUAUCAUGAUCAUGAAGGUGGUUUUCCCCGGGUGAGGCUUAUUCAUUGCACUUCGGAUGUGCUGACCCCUGCGAUUUCCCCAAAUGAGGGAAACUCGACUACAUAUUUUGUGGCGGUGGGGGACUGUGCUUGCGCUCUCCCCUG